AGCAAACCACUGGCCGACCCGCCACCGGCAUGCAAUCAAGAUGAAAAGAAGUAAAAGGAACUCGGCAAACACCAACCCCGCCUGUUUACCGUACACAUCGCUUCUAGCAUUUCUAGUGUUAGAGUCCUGCCCUCUUCUCCACGCCCGGUAGAAACGGGCCGUGUAAACACGCUGAUUGAGAAGCACCAAGGAGCCUCCUCUUCAGCCAGCCCGCGUCUCUGCGCAUGGCUGCCCACGGGAUCCGAGAACAGGGGCUUCGUGCCCAGCGGUUCUGCCUUUAAACCGGAGACGUAGCUGGCUCCCAGAAGUCAUCCUUCCUGGGCCAAGGAGCAACCAAUAAAGGGCCAGCAAUUUUCCAAGUCCUGUCAGCGGUUGGAGGAAUGCUUUGAGAACAUCUGUUUUAUUAACAGCGGCAACAAUAAAAGCCGAUCCCGUGUUUGUAGAGGAGCUGCCUUCUCAGGGCUUCGCAAGAACGAAAAUCAAUUAAAGUGGCCCAGUGAGGAAAUCGUGGGAUCCAGGCUCAAAGUUACAAGGUGGGUUCCCUUCUCUGUCUUUCCCAGUCGAUUGCCCUUGAGUAAUUUCUUUAACUCCUGAACCUAUUUUUCCAGUGCAAAAUGGUGAUUAAAUGCCUUCUUUUGGAUGUUGUUAGGUCACCUAGAUGACGUAGAGUCACAAAAUCUGGGAUGCGCCAACCGUGGCUUACCGUAAGGUCUUGGUGAGUCCUGGAAACUUGGGUGGAAUACAGGUUCUGAAAGCCAAGUUGAGAGAUUUUGUGGAGAAAUCGGAG